rnacentral:lncRNA from 1 species
UUUUUGUUUUUUUUUUUUAAUGUUGAUCAUGCCCAGGAUCCAUCCCCACAUGAUUCUGAUAUUGAUCUGGGGUGGAGCUAGGUGUAUUUCUUUUAGGAGGUUUCAACGUGAAUCAAUAUUUGUGAAGGCUACCUAAGUAAAUCUAAAGUGCAAUCAGAUCCUCUUGCAGGCUGGAAGUAUCUCAGAAGGGAACCAGGUAGAAACCCGGUGUUAUCCUACAGGCAGGUAUACAUGUUAUUCUGUGGCAUCACCAAUGACACCAGGCUGGCUGCUAAGGACAGCUCUGUUGAGAGGGAAUGUGACCAGGCCGUGUCAGCACCCAUCAAACACACCCGGCCCGCUCGUGAGCGGCACCCGAUACUGGGGCACCCAGCAGAGGGGAGGUCCAUGGCUACAAAACACAGAACAGGAGCCCUGCUUGCUCCUCCACAAAUAAUUAGGCCUAAACUGUAGCAUUACGUGAUAUCUAUCUCCAAGGUCAAUGCGAAUGAAUAGAUCUCUUUGCUGGGUUUCUUCCCUCAAAGCAAAGGUUUCAACCAUCUCCCUUUUCUUCCUCAAUUCAGGAUACAUUGUCCAGCACGUCUGAGCCACUCUGAAAACAAGCCAGUGUGGGUAUAAUGGAAAUAAAGCCAUUUCCAUGAGAAAUGGCGUUUCUUGUUUAAUCCCACUUGCAAGAGCUUACUCAACCGGAGAGGGGAAAAAAAAAAAAAAAAAAAAGCAGUGUUUUUCAAAGUAUGAAAAACUACCCAUUAUCCAUUAGAGAGAAGCCAGUGCAAGUCAGAAGCUUUUGGCUUGAGGAAGAACUAGUGAAUUUGAGGCUCAUUUUUUAAAUGGAAAAUGCUCUUUUUUUUUUUUUUUUCUUUGCCACUCACAACAACUAGUGCACCGUGUGAAGCCCAAACCAAACCUUUUGAAAAUAGUAUUGUUCUAGGGCUAGGGGGUUGGGAGAGAGGGAGAAGGUUUUCAGUUAAAGGAUGAGAAUGAUUACCCUUUGACCAAACUGGAUUCCACCUACUGACCCCAAGGUCCCCAGGUGGGAACUUGGGGUUUUUAGAUUUUAUUCAUUAAAACCAAAGCUCCCUGCUUACAAGCACCACCUCCUGCCCCAUCUUUGCAGGAUCAGUCCCAGCCUUUCCUUCCCAGCCAGCCUUCUCGGCCCCCAGCUUCUCAGCUCCCACAGAAACAGAGGGAGGUGUGCGUGGGAGUUGUGUGCCUCAAGUGGAUGCACCAUUCCCCCGUCACCCCCAGCCACUUUCAACAGAAAAAAAGCUCAGGGUGGGAAGCUGGAGAGCAGGGAGGUUCAGAGGAUGCUGCAAGGGUCCUGAGGCUGCUAAAGCCCAGCAUAGAAUUCCCCUCUGCUGCUUAGACACAGCAGUAGAAAGGCACAGACAUGUCCUCCUGAGUUUCUGACCACUCGGUACAAGCAGUUGAAGAUGUUAGUGGAUCACCAGUCUACCUUGGCUUUGAGUGGACAGUCAGGACACACCUUCAGUGUUUACUAGCUCACCUGUUGUCCUGGACUGCCACAGUGGAUACUGUAAAAGCAAGAGGCAGGGGGUGGGGUGAGAGUAGAGAACCUGAUUUCUUCUUAACCCUGAGGCUGGGGUGGCUUUAUAAAAGACAAAGCCUUGAAAAGUAAACACCUAGGAUAAGUGUCAAUAGUCUUGACACAGUGAAUGGCCUUGGAGUUUACAUGAGCUAACAAAGAUAAAAGAUUUUUGCACAAAAAUUCCACUAGCCAGAUAUCCUUGUCCAGCUCAGCACCCAAUUGUUCAGAGGUAAUUGUACCCUCAGGGAUCCAUUCCCUAUAUUCACUGUUUCCAGGUGGGAACUUGCAAGGUUCCCAAUUCUUUACUUCGUUGGUUUUUUUGGCUGGAAUUUACAAUAUGGAAUUUGAAGAACAAACAAAAUAGCAGUGGUUCCUCUGUCACCCGAUACUCCAGGCAGAGUUUUCUGCGAGAAGGUCUGGAAAAACCUAACGAUGCCAACUGUGGCUGCUCUGUGGAUGCCUUGGGGAAGAAGUGCUGAAUAAGAAAUGCGUGGACCUUGAUUUUGCUCUUUGUCCUGAAUUCAGGUGUGUAUAUGUGUGUGCAUAUAUGUGUACAGGUACACGUGCAUGGAUAAAAUGAACAUGUUCUAGGUUUUUCCUCGUCUGGCAAGCAGCGAUGAUCCAUCACCUCCACCUCCACAGGAUUGCCUGGCAAAUUCAAUAAGAAAAGUUUGUAUUAGGGUUCUUUGGAGAAAUAGAACCAAUAGGGUAAAUAGAGAUAGACAGAUAGACGGAAACAGAGAUAUUAUAAGGGACUGGCUUGUGUCAUUAUGUAAGCUGACAAGUCCUAAGAUCUGCAGGGUGAGUUGGCAAGCUAGACACUCAGGGGAGCCAAUGGUGUAUUUUCAGUCCAACUCCAAAGGCCUGAGAACCAGGAGAACCAGGUGUGAAGUUCUAACCCAAUGCCAGUAGGCUCAACACCCCAGAAGAGCUGAUAUUUCUUCGGUUCAAGUUCAAGCAGAAGAAAGCCAAUGUCCCAGCUCAAUAGGACAGGCAAGAGAAGUACCUCUUACUCAGGGGAGAAUCAGUAUUUUUGUUCUGUUAAGGCCUUCAACUGAUUGGAUGAGGUCCACACACACACUACAAGGUCCGGGGGUCUGCUUUACUCAGUCUACCAAUUUAAAUGUUAAUCUCAUCCCCAAACAUCCUCCAUGAAAACAGAAUAAUGCUUGACCAACAUCUGGGCACCUCAUGGGCCAGUCAACUUGACAUACAAAACAAUGGAGUAGGAGACAGCAUUGAGCCCUGGAUAGAACACCAUUUCUGGAGCCCAGUGGCCAGAAAUCAAGGUUGAGCUUUUAUUUACUGGUUGUGUGAUGUGUAGGUUACUCUGUCUCUCUGGCGCUGCCUCUGUUGCCCCUUCAGUAAGAUAAGGAUAACAAAGAAGUCAGUAUAUGUAAACAUAUGACACACAGGCACUAAAGCAUUAGUUGUUUCGGAUGUGAAAAGUACUUUUUAAAGCUUCAGUUGGCCCUUUGCAUUAAAUGUACAUUGGUAUUUAAGGCAAAAGAGACACAAGACAUAGAAAAUAUAGAACAGAAAAAGAGAAGCAUUAAUACCAAGAAAGAAAAACGAUGGGCCAGAGAACGACACAGAUCUAUUGGCAUAUCCUUACUCUUUGGGUAGAGUAGACCAGGGGAUAGGGAUAGGGGUUUCAGAGAUGCAUCACAACUACACAACUGUGGUUCCUCUCCUCGAAGGAAACUUCUCUGUUUCUCCAGGAGGUUUGUGGGCCUAUAUUUACCUUGGAACCUAAUGGCGGGGUGGCUGUGGUCUUUGCAGAGUAUGGACAUGUUUCAUAUUAUAUGCAUGAGUGAUGGAUGAUCAUGAAACCUAAUAUAUUUGGGGCCCAAUACCAUCAUCCACCAUAAAAGCAAAAUAUUUUCCCAUCUAGAAGUCAAGUUGGAAAAACCUCUCUCACAGUUGGUUUGGGUUUUAAAGACAUAGUAAUGGCUGCAAAGAUGGCCUGUUCGUCCAGAUAAGACUGAAGCCAACCUGACACCUCAUUGCAGUCUGGUCCCUCUUCCAAAGUUCUGUUAUGCAUGUGGGUGGUGUUAACAGUGUCCUUCUGGCAGCUAAAAUGGACCAAGAGAACAGCCUAAUGGUUAGAGAAAACCUAGUUGGGAUAGCAAGAAAUGCAGCGGCUGGACUGGCCAGAUAAGACUGCUGGGGGCCAGCGGGACAGCUCUUCCAGAGUGUGAGGUAUUUGGGGUUUGGCAAACCCUAAGAAGCUGGUUGCCAAGCCCUGUUGCCCCUUGGUCCCCUGGUGUAUUUCAAAGGAAAUUAAAUCCACAUGUUUCUGAUUUGCUGACACUUAAAGCUCAUCCAAAGGUGAUUUUGCAAGAGUGGUUUGGACACAAGAAGCCUAGAGAAACUUUAAUUAUUAUUGUUAUUUUUCAUUUUGAAACAUAGACCUGUACGCUUACAUAAUGAAUGCCAUGCCUACAAAAUCAGAGCCUAGUUUUGCCUUACCAAAACUUUUUGUUCUGGGCCCACCAGAGACAGAUAAUCGAAGUCAACUGCAGAAGACAAACAUCCAACCUAGAAAUCUCUCUCACAAAUGGUGCUGUUAACAGGCCCUUUUGAUUGGGUUGCACCUCAGAACCCCCAAACCUAGAGUUCAAAACCAUAUGCACAAUAUGGAUUGAGUGUAUUGAUUUCAUUAUUCCCUCAGACUCUGGCCAAGGAGCUAGAAACCUAAAUCCAAGAUGGGAUCAUGUUGGUAGGUCCUGGGAACCAAGGUCCAAAGAUGCGGGGCACGGCUCCUCAAGGGCAAGAGGCCAUCACAAAUGCUUUCUGUAGAAUGUUCUAAAAUGUCUUGCCAUGUCCCUAAAUGAAACCUAGACAAGGAGCAACUCCAAUUCAGUUUCAGUGAAAUAGAAUCACAUUAGACACUUAGAAAGAGUAAGUGCUUCUGGACAGAAUAUGUGACCUCUCCAAGUCUAGACACAUGAAAACUAUUGGCCAGAGAGCUCAGGGACCAAAGGGUCCCUUCUUCUGAACCUGGCAUAGACAUUUUCGAUUUCUCCUUUUCCCUCCACACACACACACACACACACACACACACACACACACACACACACACCCAAGCCACUGCAUAUAGCGUUUCCUCAAGACUCACCUCAGAGGAAUUGAAUCUCCCGACAGAAGUGGUGGCUUUGUUCUCUCUGGCUUUUCCCACCUGUUCUCCCAGCUUUAGGCCAUCAACUGCUUGGUUAGCAGCUUACUCCGUUAGUCUCCACCAUUGGAAUCUCCCAGUCCCUAGCACAGGGUCUCGAACAUGAUGUGUCUUUAAACCUCUGAUAAAGUGGGUGAUGAGGGCUGGGAUGAAGAACUGGGCUUCACCUGGAACUCAACCCUCUCCAGUUUCUCUGCUUCUGCAGUUGGAUUUCUCUGGAUAUGCGGUGUACAUUUCCGGCUCCCUCUCGCCCAAGGGCCUUCACACAUGCUCCUGCAAUCCCUCAUUUUUUUUCAUCCAGGUAACCUUUGCAUAGCAGGUCAAGUUAGAUGUCCCUUUCUCGAAAGGCAUUUUCUUUUCAGCCUAGGGAUGUGCUUCCCUCCCUCCUCUGCAUAGUCGAUACAUAUUUAUAUCUACCUAAGGAAAUACAAGGUCACCUGCAUUACCUCCCUUCCCAUCAAACUGCUGGCUCCUGGAGGCCAGGAUCCAUGUCUGUUUCUCCUUCAUCCAUCCCCAGCACCUGGGCCUGAGAAACCAGUGUUGGUUCACUGACUUCUCACACCAGCCUGGUACCGGUCUUUGCCACCAACACAGCUUAUUUCUGUGAACUAUACAAACUAAGAGCAAUGAGAGAGUUUUCAGACACUUGGAAACCAGUGCCCACUUAAAUCAGUUUGCUACGGCUGCCAUAAUAAAAUGCCACAAAUGGAUGGCUUAAGAACAACAGAAAUGUUCUGAUUCAAAGUUCUAGAACUCUAGAAGGCUGGAGUCUUAGAUUGAGGUGUCCACAGGGUUUGUUCCUUCUGAGGGCCAUGAGGAAGGAUUUAUUCCAGACCUGCCUUUUGGCUUUUCCUGGGUUUGCUGGCAAUCUUUGGCACCGCUGGUCUGGGAGAAGCACCAUGUCCAUCUCUGGCUCCAUCGUCACAUGGCAAUCUGCAUAUGGGCAUGUAUGCCUCUGUGUCCAAAUAUCCCAGGAUCCCUUUUUCUAAGGACAUCAGUCAUAUUGGAUCAGAGGCCACCCUAAUAACCUCAUCUUACCUUAAUCAUCUGCAGAGACCCUAAAUUCCAAAUAAGUUCACUUUCAUAAGUAUUGAGGGUUAGGACUUUGAUACCUUUUGGGGGAAUGCUGUUCAACCACUCUUCUGGUAAAGAAAAAAAAGGAGCUUAAAAUUGACAUUGAAAUACAGUGAUCAUUUAAUUUAUUGUCCAGGCAAGGACAUUUUUUCUGAGAACGGAGGGGGGCACUUUUAACAAUUUUGUAGGGACAACAGGCACAAACCAGCACUAUCCCGGGCAGGCAGUCUGGGAUGUAUGGCCACCCUCUGUGGCCAUAGGCUCAUUGCCGAGGCUUUCCCACACAAGGAUGCUUCGUACCUUCACUUCAAAUCCCUCUGUGUUUGUGUUCCCAGCAAGUUCAGUCUGUUUUAUACACAGUCUCGGUGAGACCAAGGGAUUAGCUGUAUUCCGGUGAUAGUUAAUUCACUGUUUCCAGUUACCAAUUGCAAGCCCAAUCUCAGCAAUUAAUUUGGCCAGAUCAAAUCAGGCCCUCUUACACCUGUUCCCCUGUUUUAAUUAGGCUUUAAUCUCCCCGGGGGAGUUGGAGGCACUGAGCACCAUUACCUAAGCCUUAGAUUAGGAAGGCAGUGUCAGAUACCCCACGUCGCCAUAAUGCACAGGCGCUGUCCCUGAAACAGGUCCCGCCCUUUGGUCUAGAAAUCUGCCUUGACAACUGUGAUCCCCCCAGCAUGGCUGGGGAAAAGAUCCUUUUUUUUGUUACAGACUUCCUUUCAUCUCCUCCCAAGGGAAGGCAAUGUUCCCAGUGGUGCUUCUUUCUGAGGUAAUUGUUGGACAGGAGUCAGCCAGUUAAGGCUGCCCAUCUAAUUAACAGAGUCUGUUAUGAUUUAUCAGGAUAAUGAGGUGGGGAACAAAGACAUCGAUUUUUUUUCCCCUUCCUGAUAUUUUGGCCUCUUUUCUUCCUUUUGGAAAAUGACCCAAUGUUAAUGAGAAACGAGUCGCUUAUUGUUGGGGUGCAAAUAGACAGAUAAAUGACAUCAGUAAUUAAGUCUCAAGCCCUCUUCGGUAUACAGAGCCAUUUGUCAGGCAAUAUUAUUCAAUUAAUUAAUUCCAUUAGGGCUACCACAUUUCUCUAAAUCCAGCCAUUCAACCAUCAGUGAUGAUAAUUCAUAUGAUACAAAAAUAGAAUGGUUAAUAAAGGCAUAGUGAGUCCAGGAAGAAAGUAUUUUAGCCACCACAGAAAGCCUAGCUAGAAGCAUUUGAUUUGAAAACGUGUAAAGUGAUCACAGCUAGCCAUGUACCUCUUCCCAUCACGGACUGAACAUAUAUGUUCUGGGCAUUCCUUAUUUCAAAUGUCUAGGAGGAGAAAGGAGGACAGCGGAGUGGUCCAAAUCACCUUCUGACACCACAUCAGUGGACACUGUCAGGCUUCUGGUCAUUUGCCCAUCGGUGGUCAGAGAGGGGACAAGGGCCAUGAAAUGUGAUUGUCUCAAGGCAAUACAAUGAGAGAGAAGGUUCUCAAAACAGGCGGCCAGGUUGUUUUUUUUUCUUAUACAACUAUCUACUGGUAAAUAUUUAUCAAAAUGAAAAUUGGCUUACCAGCUGUGUGGUCAAUUUUUGUCUGCUUUCUUUCCUCUUUUGUCAGGGAGAAAAUCCUGACUCAUCCAUCUCUUACUGCUCACAACUCAAGGUAAUUCUGUCUCUGUUGAUGGUCAUGUUAACAGAAAACACACCCACAUUCUCUUUAAUCCCCUUACUCUUUCCACUCUCCUUUUUAGCUCUUGCCAACUUUCUCAGAAUUCUUUACACCCUCCUAGUGUGAAACUUGCCUUCCAAAAAAAAAAAAAAAAAAAAAA